rnacentral:rRNA from 1 species
AUCGAACGCUGGCGGCAGGCCUAACACAUGUAAGUCGAGCGGAUGAGUGGAGCUUGCUCCAUGAUUCAGCGGCGGACGGGUGAGUAAUGCCUAGGAAUCUGCCUGGUAGUGGGGGACAACGUUUCGAAAGGAACGCUAAUACCGCAUACGUCCUACGGGAGAAAGUGGGGGAUCUUCGGACCUCACGCUAUCAGAUGAGCCUAGGUCGGAUUAGCUAGUUGGUGAGGUAAAGGCUCACCAAGGCGACGAUCCGUAACUGGUCUGAGAGGAUGAUCAGUCACACUGGAACUGAGACACGGUCCAGACUCCUACGGGAGGCAGCAGUGGGGAAUAUUGGACAAUGGGCGAAAGCCUGAUCCAGCCAUGCCGCGUGUGUGAAGAAGGUCUUCGGAUUGUAAAGCACUUUAAGUUGGGAGGAAGGGCAGUAAGUUAAUACCUUGCUGUUUUGACGUUACCAACAGAAUAAGCACCGGCUAACUUCGUGCCAGCCGCCGCAGUAAAAC